CGGCGCGUAAACAAACGCGUUGCGCGCCGCACUCAGUCGGCUUUCUGGGCAGCGGACGAGCUCACAAGCACCUGGGCAGUUCGAGGCGAGCUCUGUGUGUCCGUGCGUGUCUCUCUGCCUGUGUCCGCGUGUGCGUGUCUCUGGCAACGGGCUCAUCACAGUUUGUCCCAUGGCCACAGUAAGCCAGCAGCAGCGGCAGCGGCGUGCUGGGGACUGCGCGCUGCCCGGGCAGCAGGGCUCCUCGUCCUCCUCGUCCCUCUCCUCGGGGCUGAUGGGACCCGAGGGCGGCAUGGACGAGGAGGCGCUGCAGGAGCUCUACGCGUGGAUCGACACCGUGCCGCUGUCUCGGCCCAAGCGCAACAUCGCCCGCGACUUCAGCGACGGCGUGAUGGUGGCUGAGCUGGUCAAGCACUUCUUUCCCCGGAUCGUGGAGAUGCACAAUUACAUCCCGGCCAACUCAGUGCAGCAAAAAAUCAGUAACUGGAAUACGCUCAACAGGAAGGUGCUCUCCAAGCUGUGCGGAAUGCACGUCCCGCUGGACGUGGUGCGCAGCGUGACGGGGUGCAGCCCCGGCGUGGUGGAGCUGGUGCUGCACUCGCUGCGGCUCAAGCUUCAGGAGAAGACGCAGGACAAGCAGCAGCGGCGCCAGCAGCAGCAGCAACAUCAUCAGCAGGGCAAGGGCCCUAUGAAAAAUGGGCAGGAUGUGGAAUACUACAGUACCAACAUGCAAUCCCCAGCCCGAUCCCCACACGUGCAAAGGGGAGCAGGAGGAACCAACAACCCCGCCAACCACCAUGUGGCAGCCAAAGGACCCUGGAUGCCUGAGAGCAUGACCACCGCGGAGAUGGAGCGAGAUAAAGUAUUCCCUCUCGAGACCAUGAGGGAUGGCGACAGCUUGUGGAAGGUCACCUGGGACAGGGCCUGACACCCCUCAAGCACGGCUCGACCCCGAAGCGAGACUUUUGCUACAAGAACGAGACCAGGCACUGAGGGCAGCCCAGGAGACCGUGCUGCUGCUGCAGGCGAAGGUGCAGCGGCUGGAGCAGCUGGUGCAGAUAAAGGACGCACGCAUCGCCGAGCUGACGAAGACACAGCCUCCGGCACCAGAUCGUCGCCUUGCCAAGAGAUGAUGACAUCGAUGAUUCUUCCAACUCCCCUGCCGCUGGGUAGCAGCUCGGCAGUCAAUGCCCUCGCCACUCAGCCAGUUUGCACAGCAUUGACAGUUCAUUUACCACAGUGGGCCUGUAAUUUAUACAAGUAAUUAUCAAAGCGUCAAACACUACACGCUCAGCUGAUUGGCACGUCGGGCAAGGUGACAUCGUGGGAAUAUUGAGAUGCCAUGAGGUCUAAAUGUGUCUAAUCAGAGCAUGUAUUCGUGUUUGCCUUGUCCUGCACAUUGUUCUUUUCUCAGCUGAUAGAGAUUUAUAUUGGCUAAAAAUGAUGAAAACGUGAAUUACUCAAGUGUCUCUUGUGAUGUAAUGUGGAUACGAAACACUUGAUAUAUUCUGUAAGCAAAGGUAUACAAUGCGUAAUUUAAAAUGUCACGUGUAAUGAAUAAUAAAAUAACUUCCCA